rnacentral:lncRNA from 1 species
UAAUAAGUAAAACAUGAUUAGACGAUCUCAAAAAUCCAAGAUUCUUUUAAUCUACAACAACAUAAAGCCUUAUCACAAAAUAGGACAAAACAAGUCAAAACAAAAUUAAAUAGAAGUAAAUAGAAUAAGACAUGAAAGACAAAACUGAGCAAACAAAAACGAAACGGAAAAGAAUUAAAAAAUAAAGAUGCAAAACCAAAUUUUAUUAAGAGAAAGGGUCUAAAGUCAUACCUGAUCAGAUGCUCUAAAAGGCCUUGGCUAUUACUACUUAU